AGUGAACGCUGGCGGUAGGCCUAACACAUGCAAGUCGAACGGCAGCACAGUAAGAGCUUGCUCUUACGGGUGGCGAGUGGCGGACGGGUGCGGAAUACAUCGGAAUCUACUUUUUCGUGGGGGAUAACGUAGGGAAACUUACGCUAAUACCGCAUACGACCUACGGGUGAAAGCAGGGGAUCUUCGGAACUUGCGCGAUUGAAUGAGCCGAUGUCGGAUUAGCUAGUUGGCGGGGUAAAGGCCCACCAAGGCGACGAUCCGUAGCUGGUCUGAGAGGAUGAUCAGCCACACUGGAACUGAGACACGGUCCAGACUCCUACGGGAGGCAGCAGUGGGGAAUAUUGGACAAUGGGCGCAAGCCUGAUCCAGCCAUACCGCGUGGGUGAAGAAGGCCUUCGGGUUGUAAAGCCCUUUUGUUGGGAAAGAAAAGCAGCAGGUUAAUACCCCGCUGUUCUGACGGUACCCAAAGAAUAAGCACCGGCUAACUUCGUG
rnacentral:rRNA from 1 species